AAAGUUCCAUAGGACAGAUAUGGCAUACAAAGGGGUCCCAGCAUGGCCAUUAUGGAAUGGCUGAGCUGGGUGGCCCUUGCACCCACCCAUAAACAAAAAUGCAUUCUCUCCCGGUUUGGCGUGCUUGGAUGGGGAACAUGCGUGUUUUGUAGAGUUCGCCCAUUAAUAGGCGAAGAAAUAAAGAUCAAUAAGAAGUCGGAAAUUAUUCAUCAUAUGGACUUCCGUAAUGGGCGAACUCUUCAGAUCUGCAAGAAUGCAAAUCAAAAUGGAAGCACAAACAAAAGGAGCGAGUUCACUUUUGAUCAGGUUUACGGGCCAACUGGAACACAAGCACAAAUAUUUGAAGAAGUAUCACAUCUGUCAGUCUGUCCUAGACAGAUAAAACACAUGUGUAUUUGCUUAUGGGCAGACAGGCUAGGGGAAAGACCUACACAAUGGAAGGUGUACUUCAAAACAAAGAGCAGAAGGGCAUGAUUCCUCAGACGAAGUAAAUCUUCUCCACAAUAAACGGGCUGAAGGACGAGGUUGAAGUGGCAGAUGAAGUUAGUGUUUUUCAUCUGCUUCAUGAAGCCCAAAAACGAAGAACUGUGGCAGAAACCAAAAUGAAUGACGGUCAUCUCGCUCGCAUUCCGUUUUCGCUCUUAAACUCUCCGCAACAAAUAGCAAAACUUUUGAAUCUUGUGAAUAUAAGAGUUCUUUAAUUA